AGCAGCCGCGGUAAUUCCAGCUCCAAUAGCGUAUAUUAAAGUUGUUGCAGUUAAAAAGCUCGUAGUUGAAUUUUGGAUUCUACCAAUUGGUCCAUCUUUUAGAUGAGUACUGGUUGUGUGGGGUCUAUCCGCCUGGUGAUACGUAAUGUCCUUUAUUGGAUGUUGCGGGUAGUCAGGACCUUUACCUUGAAAAAAUUAGAGUGUUUAAAGCAGGCUUAUGCCGGAAUACAUUAGCAUGGAAUAAUAGAAUAGGACGAAGUUGUUUUAUUUUGUUGGUUUCUAGGACAACCGUAAUGAUUAAUAGGGAUAGUUGGGGGCAUUAGUAUUCAAUUGUCAGAGGUGAAAUUCUUGGAUUUAUUGAAGACUAACUACUGCGAAAGCAUUUGCCAAGGAUGUUUUCAUUAACCAAGAACGAAAGUUAGGGGAUCGAAGACGAUCAGAUACCGUCGUAGUCUUAACCAUAAACUAUGCCGACUAGGGAUCGGGCGAUGUUGUUUCCAUGACUCGCUCGGCACCUUAU
rnacentral:rRNA from 1 species